UACGGAGGGGGCGAGCGUUAUUCGGAAUUAUUGGGCGUAAAGGGCGCGUAGGCGGCUUCGUAAGUCAAAGGUGAAAUCCCUCGGCUCAACUGAGGAACUGCCUUUGAAACUGCGAGACUUGAGUCCGGGAGGGGGUAGCGGAAUUCCCAGUGUAGCGGUGAAAUGCGUAGAUAUUGGGAGGAACACCAGUGGCGAAGGCGGCUACCUGGACCGGAACUGACGCUGAUGCGCGAAAGCGUGGGUAGCAAACAGG
rnacentral:rRNA from 1 species